GAUGAACGCUGGCGGCGUGCCUAAUACAUGCAAGUCGAGCGAACGGACGAGAAGCUUGCUUCUCUGAUGUUAGCGGCGGACGGGUGAGUAACACGUGGAUAACCUACCUAUAAGACUGGGAUAACUUCGGGAAACCGUAGCUAAUACCGGAUAAUAUUUUGAACCGCAUGGUUCAAAAGUGAAAGACGGUCUUUCUGUCACUUAUAGAUGGAUCCGCGCUGCAUUAGCUAGUUGGUAAGGUAACGGCUUACCAAGGCAACGAUGCAUAGCCGACCUGAGAGGGUGAUCGGACACACUGGAACUGAGACACGGUACAGACUCCUACGGGAGGCAGCAGUAGGGAAGCUUCCGAAAUGGGCGAAAGCCUGACGGAGCAACGCCGCGUGAGUGAUGAAGGUCUUCGGAUCGUAAAACUCUGUUAUUAGGGAAGAACAUAUGUGUAAGUAACUGUGCACAGCUUGACGGUACCUAAUCAGAAAGCCACGGCUAACUACGUG
rnacentral:rRNA from 1 species